rnacentral:rRNA from 1 species
GACGAACGCUGGCGGCGUGCUUAACACAUGCAAGUCGAACGGAAAGGCCCUGCUUUUGUGGGGUGCUCGAGUGGCGAACGGGUGAGUAACACGUGAGUAACCUGCCCUUGACUUUGGGAUAACUUCAGGAAACUGGGGCUAAUACCGGAUAGGAGCUCCUGCUGCAUGGUGGGGGUUGGAAAGUUUCGGCGGUUGGGGAUGGACUCGCGGCUUAUCAGCUUGUUGGUGGGGUAGUGGCUUACCAAGGCUUUGACGGGUAGCCGGCCUGAGAGGGUGACCGGCCACAUUGGGACUGAGAUACGGCGCAGACUCCUACGGUAGGCAGCAGUGGAGAGUAUGACACAAUGGGCGGAAGCCUGAUGCAGCAACGCCGCGUGCGGGAUGACGGCCUUCGGGUUGUAAACCGCUUUCGCCUGUGACGAAGCGUGAGUGACGGUAAUGGAUAAAGAAGCACCGGCUAACUACGUG